GCAGGAUAAGAUGGCUGUGUUUUAUCUACAGGAUGAGUUGCCGAUGAGGAUGGUUGCCGAUGAAGGAGGAGUUGGACAGGACUAAGUCCAUAGGAGAUGAUGUGUCUGUGCCGAUGGCUAUUGCAAGAGAGUUUGCCGAUGACCAUGAUAGGGGAGUCUGCCGAUGAUACGGAAGGAGAGUUUGGAAGUUGCCGAUCGGUUUGUGGAGGUGUUCCAGCUUGCCACGGGGGAAAUAGUUUUAUGUUUUUCUUAGUUAUUUUAAUCAUUUUAUAUACGGAUUCUGUGUAAUUUGGAAUUCGAAUUCUAGUCGUGUUUGGUUAUAGCUCUUUGAGUAGGAUAUAAAUAUAGACCCUAGGGCCUUGUA
rnacentral:lncRNA from 1 species